AAUGAACGUUGGCGGCGUGGAUUAGGCAUGCAAGUCGAGCGGGUGUAGCAAUACACCAGCGGGGAAAGGGAGAGUAAUGCGUGGAUACCUACCCUCGGGUUCGGGAUAGCUACGGGAAACUGUAGGUAAUACCGAAUAACAUCUCCGGAUCAAAGGUGUGAUUCCGCCCGGGGAGGGGUCCGCGUCCUAUUAGCUUGUUGGCGAGGUAACGGCUCACCAAGGCGAAGAUGGGUAUGGGGUGUGAGAGCAUGCCCCCACUCACUGGGACUGAGACACUGCCCAGACACCUACGGGUGGCUGCAGUCGAGAAUCUUCGGCAAUGGGGGAAACCCUGACCGAGCGACGCCGCGUGCGAGAUGAAGGCCUUCGGGUUGUAAACCGCUUUUGUCAGGGAAGAAAUCCUUUGGGUUAAUACCUCGGAGGGAUGACGGUACCUGAAGAAUAAGCACCGGCUAACUACGUGCCAGCAGCCGCAGUAACAC
rnacentral:rRNA from 1 species